rnacentral:rRNA from 1 species
GAGUUUGAUUCUGGCUCAGGAUGAACGCUAGCGAAAUGCCUAACACAUGCAAGUCGAACGGAUCUUGCGCUGUACUUGUACAGAGUAAGAUUAGUGGCAAACGAGCGAGUAACGCGUGCUUAACCUGCCCCGAAGAUGGGUAUAACUGCAGAGAUGUAGCUAAUUCCCAAUAUGCUCACGAUGGUGAAAUCCCAAUGUGAGGAAAGAUUUAUCGCUUCGGGAGGGGGGUGCGUCCUAUCAGGUAGUUGGUAAGGUAACGGCUUACCAAGCCUAUGACGGGUAACCGGUCUGAGAUGAUGUCCGGUCGCGAUGGGACUGAGAUACGGCCCAUACUCCUACGGGAGGCAGCAGUGGGGAAUCUUGCACAAUGGACGAAAGUCUGAUGCAGCAAUUUCGCGUGAAGGAUGAAGCAUUACGGUGUGUAAACUUCUUUUUUGGAGGAAGACGAAUGA